GUCGAGAAUCUUCCGCAAUGCGCGAAAGCGUGACCGAGCGACACCGCGUGAUGGAUGAAGUCCUUCGGGGCGUAAACAUCUUUUAUAAAGGAGGAAAUUUUUGACGUUACUUUAUGAAUAAGGGGCUCCCAAUCUCGUGCCAGCAGGAGCGGUAAUACGAGAGCCUCAAGCGUUAUCCGGAAUCAUUGGGCGUAAAGGGUGCGUAGGUGGUUUGAUUAGUCUCCCGUUAAAACUUCGAGCUUAACUCGAAAAGAGCGGGGGAAACGGUCAAACUAGAGUAUGUGAGAGGUGUGUGGAACUCAUGGUGUAGGGGUGAAAUCCGUUGAUAUCAUGGGGAACACCAAAAGCGAAGGCAGCACACUGGCACAUCACUGACACUGAGGCACGAAACCUAAGGUAGCGAAUGGGAUUAGAAACCCGAGUAGUCC
rnacentral:rRNA from 1 species